rnacentral:rRNA from 1 species
GACUUGCUCCCGGAUGUUAGCGGCGGACGGGUGAGUAACACGUGGGUAACCUGCCUGUAAGACUGGGAUAACUCCGGGAAACCGGAGCUAAUACCGGAUAGUUCCUUGAACCGCAUGGUUCAAGGAUGAAAGACGGUUUCGGCUGUCACUUACAGAUGGACCCGCGGCGCAUUAGCUAGUUGGUGAGGUAACGGCUCACCAAGGCGACGAUGCGUAGCCGACCUGAGAGGGUGAUCGGCCACACUGGGACUGAGACACGGCCCAGACUCCUACGGGAGGCAGCAGUAGGGAAUCUUCCGCAAUGGACGAAAGUCUGACGGAGCAACGCCGCGUGAGUGAUGAAGGUUUUCGGAUCGUAAAGCUCUGUUGUUAGGGAAGAACAAGUGCAAGAGUAACUGCUUGCACCUUGACGGUACCUAACCAGAAAGCCACGGCUAACUACGUGCCAGCAGCCGCGGUAAUACGUAGGUGGCAAGCGUUGUCCGGAAUUAUUGGGCGUAAAGGGCUCGCAGGCGGUUUCUUAAGUCUGAUGUGAAAGCCCCCGGCUCAACCGGGGAGGGUCAUUGGAAACUGGGAAACUUGAGUGCAGAAGAGGAGAGUGGAAUUCCACGUGUAGCGGUGAAAUGCGUAGAGAUGUGGAGGAACACCAGUGGCGAAGGCGACUCUCUGGUCUGUAACUGACGCUGAGGAGCGAAAGCGUGGGGAGCGAACAGGAUUAGAUACCCUGGUAGUCCACGCCGUAAACGAUGAGUGCUAAGUGUUAGGGGGUUUCCGCCCCUUAGUGCUGCAGCUAACGCAUUAAGCACUCCGCCUGGGGAGUACGGUCGCAAGACUGAAACUCAAAGGAAUUGACGGGGGCCCGCACAAGCGGUGGAGCAUGUGGUUUAAUUCGAAGCAACGCGAAGAACCUUACCNAGGUCUUGACAUCCUCUGACAACCCUAGAGAUAGGGCUUUCCCUUCGGGGACAGAGUGACAGGUGGUGCAUGGUUGUCGUCAGCUCGUGUCGUGAGAUGUUGGGUUAAGUCCCGCAACGAGCGCAACCCUUGAUCUUAGUUGCCAGCAUUCAGUUGGGCACUCUAAGGUGACUGCCGGUGACAAACCGGAGGAAGGUGGGGAUGACGUCAAAUCAUCAUGCCCCUUAUGACCUGGGCUACACACGUGCUACAAUGGACAGAACAAAGGGCUGCGAGACCGCAAGGUUUAGCCAAUCCCACAAAUCUGUUCUCAGUUCGGAUCGCAGUCUGCAACUCGACUGCGUGAAGCUGGAAUCGCUAGUAAUCGCGG